GAUGAACGCUGACGGCGUGCCUAAUACAUGCAAGUCGAGCGAACGGACGAGAAGCUUGCUUCUCUGAUGUUAGCGGCGGACGGGUGAGUAACACGUGGAUAACCUACCUAUAAGACUGGGAUAACUUCGGGAAACCGGAGCUAAUACCGGAUAAUAUUUUGAACCGCAUGGUUCAAAAGUGAAAGACGGUCUUGCUGUCACUUAUAGAUGGAUCCGCGCUGCAUUAGCUAGUUGGUAAGGUAACGGCUUACCGAGGCAACGAUGCAUAGCCGACCUGAGAGGGUGAUCGGCCACACUGGAACUGAGACACGGUCCAGACUCCUACGGGAGGCAGCAGUAGGGAAUCUUCCGCAAUGGGCGAAAGCCUGACGGAGCAACGCCGCGUGAGUGAUGAAGGUCUUCGGAUCGUAAAACUCUGUUAUUAGGGAAGAACAUAUGUGUAAGUAACUGUGCACAUCUUGACGGUACCUAAUCAGAAAGCCACGGCUAACUACGUG
rnacentral:rRNA from 1 species